rnacentral:rRNA from 1 species
CCUACGGGGGGCAGCAGUGGGGAAUAUCGGACAAUGGGGGCAACCCUGAUCCAGCCAUGCCGCGUGUGUGAAGAAGGCCCUCGGGUUGUAAAGCACUUUCAGUGAGGAAGAACGCCUGGUGGUUAAUACCCAUCAGGAAAGACAUCACUCACAGAAGAAGCACCGGCUAACUCCGUGCCAGCAGCCGCGGUAAUACGGAGGGUGCGAGCGUUAAUCGGAAUUACUGGGCGUAAAGCGCGCGUAGGUGGCUUGAUAAGCCGGUUGUGAAAGCCCCGGGCUCAACCUGGGAACGGCAUCCGGAACUGUCAAGCUAGAGUGCAGGAGAGGAAGGUAGAAUUCCCGGUGUAGCGGUGAAAUGCGUAGAGAUCGGGAGGAAUACCAGUGGCGAAGGCGGCCUUCUGGACUGACACUGACACUGAGGUGCGAAAGCGUGGGUAGCAAACAGGAUUAGAUACCCCGGUAGUC